UACGAAGGGGGGCUAGCGUUGCUCGGAAUCACUGGGCGUAAAGGGUGCGUAGGCGGUCUGAUAAGUCAUCUGUGAAAUCUAUGGGCUCAACCCAUAGUCUGCAGGCGAAACUGUCGGGCUUGAGUAUGGGAGAGGUGAGUGGAAUUUCCGGUGUAGCGGUGAAAUGCGUAGAUAUCGGAAGGAACACCUGUGGCGAAAGCGGCUCACUGGACCAUUACUGACGCUGAUGCACGAAAGCUAGGGGAGCAAACAGG
rnacentral:rRNA from 1 species